rnacentral:lncRNA from 9 species
GGCUUAUUUUCCGUAACCAUGCAAGGGAUUGCAGAGAAAGAGUCAUAGAGAAGCGGCCAACACCCAGCUUCCACUGCUUUGCCUCAUCGGCCCAACCUUAUGUGCUGAGACCUUGCUGAAGCUCCUACAAGCACAAGUGGGCUCAUUCUUUUUCAUCUGCGAUGUUUUCCUCCAUCUACCAUCUUUUGCUUAAAAAAGGGGGGGGGCAAGUGAGUAUUCACCACGAAACUAUUUGAUUUUGUUCAGUCCUGACAGGUCCUCUGUAACCAAACAGAAUUACAGGGACUCUGCCUACCCCAGGCAGACCCAGCAUCAGGUCAGCUAUAAUUGGCACCUGGUGAGAGGUCACGAAACACGGGCUGUGGGAGCAAGUGCAUUAAGGGCUCGGUGACAGCAGUUGCCAUGCGUUUCUGAGUGCUGUCAAGCAGGAUCUUCAAUCACAGUGUGCUUUGUGCUCUGCAUUCUAAAAAUGGAAAUGAAACCACCAGCUCCUCCCCAGACUGUGAGGCUUGAUGGACGCGAGCUUAAUGAACCCAGGAUAAAGGAAUUAGCCCAAGCAGAAGGCAGAAAAAGCAUUAAGAGACUCCCUCGGACCGUCAACCCCCUUCUGGUAUCCUCGGCCACACCAUGUCCCCAGAUGUACUGCUUCUUUCUAGAAUUAACAAAAAAGUCUGAGAAGCUAAAUUUAACUUGCAUACCCUGGAAAAACGGUAAACUUCAGGUCACCAAGCCCAGCAUCUCACAGGUGUCUUACCCAACAACAGCCCUCUGCUUCUAACCACACAAAGGGGCCCAGGACCACACACAUUUAGGACACUGAACAUGCUUUAUCUUCUUCUUGGGGACUCCUAACCUUAACGCAUCAAAUCCUGGAGCACGGAAGACGUUUUCUUGAUGGAGGAGAGGGUCUUUCCUUCGCAGGCAGCGGCCCCGCCUCCUCCUCGUGAAACGAGCUAAUCCACGUAAGAGGACUUAAAGCGGGUUCUAUAUAAGCAAUGAGAAUCGUGCUCCCAUCAUCUCCACCUGAAAACAAGGCUCCCAGAGCACACGCGGUUGCACGGGCAGCCAGGUGUGGGCCAAACUUCCAGAAACCCCUAGGUACCAGCGAAAAGGCUGGCUGGGAAAAAGGCAGAGAUUUUCAAUCAGGCAGUUACAGGUCAGGCUCUACCUAACCUUUCUGUGUCUCCGUUAUUUCAUCAUAAGAUGAGGACUAGAUAGGCCCUUCCUCUUACGUGUGUGGCGACUCAGGGAGCAAAGAGCUCAGCAGGUGUGGGCUGUUAUCCUCAGAAGGUCAAGGGACGGCACCUGCCCAACUCAGGGCUGUGACCCCACCCAGGAAACCAUUAACUUCCCCAAAGGCAUCCCAGAAGCCAUUCUGGGGACGAGUAAAACUUCUUCAUUUAUUUGGUCCAAACAUAUUUGUAAGGUUAAUCUUCUCAUUCCUUCUGGGGUGGAGACGGGGUGUCUGUUGAAGCAGCAAUAAAGGAAGGAAUUGACUGGAUGAAAAAGCUCUGGAGAAGAGUAAACGAAAUCUCUGGAAAAGGCCACAGACGACUCCUUCCCCUUUGCAGGAGCGCGUCUGAGAUGUGACCUCUGCUGAACCCAUCUGCUGGAAGGCGGCCUGGCAAGGUGGCAGGGCCAUGGGCCAAGCGAGGGCAGGCAUGUCAAGGUGAAAAUGGGUACAUAUAAGGGACACUACUCAUUUCUCAGGAUUCCACAUAAUCCUUUAUAUGAAUUCGACCUGCUUCCAUUCCAGUAACUGUCUCAUUCCAUAACUGUUUAAUCUGAAGGCGUAAGAGAUAUUUCUCUGGAAAAAUACUGAGCAAUCAGAAGCCCUUCCCUCUUUCCUCAGCUCCUGCCCCAUAUAAAGAUGGAGCACAGGCGUUUGUAGAUGCUGAGGCAGGGGAAGCUGGUGUGGGCAGUGGGCGAGGCAAGGUGGGGUACAGAGGAAAGACAGGCUGGGAAGGCUCAGAGAAGGUCAUUGGGAAGGACAGAGGCUUCUUUUCUCAGGACUGCUUAAGAUACACCCUCCUCCCAGAGGCUAAGCCCUCCUGGGGGAGAAAGAGAAAAUAACAGCCAAGAAAACUUUGCAUGCAAAUCACAGACAGAGAAGAAAGAAUAUGUAUUUGUGUGUUACGUGUGGAUGUUUGCGCAUGUUUGUGUCAAAAAGAGAAAAUAUAUACUGUGCCAAUCACAUUCGGGAGCAGCAUCUUAGAUAUGACUGGAUAUGUGAAGUUACUCAGAGGACUCUGACAUCUUAAAACAGUGCACUUCAUAAACUGUCUUUGUUACUUGAAAAAAGAAAUCUCGGUGCUCUCAUCGUGGCUCAGUGGAAACGAACCCAACUAGUAUCCAUGAGGACGUGGGUUCCAUCCCUGGCUUUACUCAGUGGGUUAAGGAUCCAUCAUUGCCAUGAGCUAUGGCGCGGCUCAGAUCUUGCAUUGCUGUGGCUCUAGUGUAGGCUGGCAGCUGUAGCUCUGAUUCAACUCCUAGCCUGGGAACUUCCAUAGGUCACACCUGUGGCCCUAAAAAGCAAAAAAAAAAAAAAAAAAAAAAAAAAAGGAAAGAAAAAGAAAAAGAAAUUUCUAUGAAAGUGAAUUCACAGGAAUCAUGAUAGACUUUUUCAGCUUAAGCCAAGGGACAGCCUCCUUAGAGCUGCUGAAUGGUACAUAGGAAAGCUUGAUAUCAAAGUAGGUUCACAAUAAACAUUACUAUCUUCCUCCUUUAUUUCAUCAAAAGGAAUGAUAGAAACAAAGGCAGGUAGGAGGGAGAAGAAAUGGGGAAAGAGGGAAGGAAUCUAAAGUUGGAGAGGAAGAAUAGUUUCCCUCAAAAGACUAAAUACAAAAGACUAAAUACAAAAGACUAAAUAAUAAGACAUGGAUGAAAUUCUGCAUUUAAAUAGAGAUACUUGUGGACAUUUCAGGCCGUUUUCCACAGCCCAUCCUGUCAAUUCCCUAGUAUAGGAGGCUUUUUAAAUCUUAGACUUUACAGCCAAUUCACUCUGCUACACCGAUUGCAUAGCUUAAAAAGACAUGACACCCCCUGCCCUGCCACCCCACUGGCCAGAUUGGAGGUGUCUUUCUAUGCUGCUUAUCUCUGAGUGUUUGUUUUUAAAGGGAAAAGAAGUUUAGCAGCAGUUGUGAACUGUACCUUUAAAAACUAACCUUUGAAAUCAGGCUGUGAUCAUCUUGACCUUCACUGGACCGUAUGAUUCUCUAGAAGUCCAGACGCGUGAAUAGAUCUCUUUGUGUGCUCAGCCCUCGUCCAAGCCAAGCCAGCCUGGGUUUUGUUUUGGCAAGUCCACGAGAACGCCACAGACAAGUCGGUUUUGAUUUACAGAUACCCGUAAGGAGAUGUGAUUCCUUUCCAGGAAAAGGGCACGGUGGCUAAUUUGCUUUAAUUUAUAUACACAGGGCUCUUUUAGCAGCUGGGACUGCAGUUGGGCUUGGUCAAAGUGGGUGCUUCGGCAGGAAGCAUGGCUCCCAAAUGCUCAGUGGGAGACUGUCCAUCUGGAAAGACACAGAGGCCAGGAGGUGGCAGGUGAAAAUGGACAGAGGGAGAAUUCAGUGACAGAAACCUCAACAUCUCACCGUAAAAGUUUCCAAAUUGUAUUUCUCUGGAUCUGGUUUUCUUUGCUUUCGUUACUUCCUGUUUUUCAGGCACAGGUGGCACUUUUGCCUAGACACUGCUGACUGCUACGGUUUUUUCUGACAUGUGGUUUUUGAUUGGAUUAAGAUUUCUAUAAAAACUAGGUUGAUGUGGCCCAGACAGCAUAGUGUCAAUUUUCCACUUGUGUACGUGGUUCCUCUUCAUGUCAUAAGUGAAAGGUAUAAUGUCACCAUCCCCAAAGCCCAACAACAUGUAUAGGGGCCCCAGAACUCUUUGGAUACUUGAACUUCAGUAAGUUUAAGCAAAGAGAA